CCUACGGGAGGCAGCAGUGGGGAAUAUUGGGCAAUGGGCGCAAGCCUGACGCAGCAACGCCGCGUGAAGGAAGAAGGCUUUCGGGUUGUAAACUUCUGUUCUCAGGGACGAAGCAAGUGACGGUACCUGAGGAAUAAGCCACGGCUAACUACGUGCCAGCAGCCGCGGUAAUACGUAGGUGACAAGCGUUAUCCGGAUUUACUGGGUGUAAAGGGCGGGUAGGCGGGACUGCAAGUCAGAUGGGAAAACCACGGGCUCAACCUGUGGCCUGCAUUUGAUACUGUAGUUCUUGAGUACUGGAGAGGCAGGCGGAAUUCCUAGUGUAGCGGUGAAAUGCGUAGAUAUUAGGAGGAACACCAGUGGCGAAGGCGGUCUGCUGGACAGCAACUGACGCUGAGGCGCGAAAGCGUGGGGAGCAAACAGGAUUAGAUACCCUUGUAGUC
rnacentral:rRNA from 1 species